UUCCCGAGCUGCGUUCGGACCCGUCUGAUCGUAAAUCCCAUGUAAGGUACCUGCCGUCGGAAGAUUUGAACGUUCUACUUGGACACCUAAAACCCACAGUCCUCCAGACAGAAAGACAACAGGUACAAAGCCCUAAGGAUUAUAAAGGUAUGCUGCUUACCAUCAUCUUAGUGACCAAGGCAGCGAAGCUGUUUCUGUACCUUGGAACAGUCUUCCCUGACAAGCCAGAGAACAGUGAUAAAGCCACCAGCCUUGGGAUCAGGACUGAAAAGGCAAGAGUGAUGGAGAUUUCUCCUGCGCUAAGCCAAGAGAAGGUUUCAGCACUUCAGACAGCUCCCACCGAAGUAGCCGCGCUCCCAGCUGCUUGCAGAUGUUGAAAAGGAAAGCCUCGGUUUGUCUUGAGGUUGUCAGCAGGUGCAAGACACGUAAUAAAAUGCAAUGUGUUCCUAAUUCAUUGCAUAUCCUCAGCUUUAAAUUUGGGUAGCAAAAUGAUUACUCUAGAUUCUUCAGUCUUGGCAAGUAUCUGUACCUAAAAAGCAGUUUUUCUACCUAAUGUCUUUUUUUGUUUUUGUUUUUCAAUACACCUUAAGCAAAUUGAAGCUUUUGUUCCUGGAGGAAAAGUGGUUUGAUAUGUUCAUCUAUCUUUUAGUAAAUUUGGGGGCAUAACUUUUCCAAUUCUGAGGAACUUUUCUAAGAAGAGUGCAUAAAAGUUUGUUGUUGUUUUUAAAGG